rnacentral:rRNA from 1 species
GGUCAAGUGAAGAAGCGCAUACGGUGGAUGCCUUGGCAGUCAGAGGCGAUGAAAGACGUGGUAGCCUGCGAAAAGCUUCGGGGAGUCGGCAAACAGACUUUGAUCCGGAGAUGUCUGAAUGGGGGAACCCAGCCAUCAUAAGAUGGUUAUCUUGUACUGAAUACAUAGGUGCAAGAGGCGAACCAGGGGAACUGAAACAUCUAAGUACCCUGAGGAAAAGAAAUCAACCGAGAUUCCCUUAGUAGUGGCGAGCGAACGGGGACUAGCCCUUAAGUGGCUUUGAGAUUAGCGGAACGCUCUGGAAAGUGCGGCCAUAGUGGGUGAUAGCCCUGUACGCGAAAAUCUCUUAGUCAUGAAAUCGAGUAGGACGGAGCACGAGAAACUUUGUCUGAAUAUGGGGGGACCAUCCUCCAAGGCUAAAUACUACUGACUGACCGAUAGUGAACUAGUACCGUGAGGGAAAGGCGAAAAGAACCCCGGAGAGGGGAGUGAAAUAGAUCCUGAAACCGUAUGCGUACAAGCAGUGGGAGCAGACUUUGUUCUGUGACUGCGUACCUUUUGUAUAAUGGGUCAGCGACUUAUUUUCAGUGGCGAGCUUAACCGAAUAGGGGAGGCGUAGCGAAAGCGAGUCUUAAUAGGGCGUCUAGUCGCUGGGAAUAGACCCGAAACCGGGCGAUCUAUCCAUGGGCAGGUUGAAGGUUAGGUAACACUGACUGGAGGACCGAACCGACUACCGUUGAAAAGUUAGCGGAUGACCUGUGGAUCGGAGUGAAAGGCUAAUCAAGCUCGGAGAUAGCUGGUUCUCCUCGAAAGCUAUUUAGGUAGCGCCUCAUGUAUCACUGUAGGGGGUAGAGCACUGUUUCGGCUAGGGGGUCAUCCCGACUUACCAAACCGAUGCAAACUCCGAAUACCUACAAGUGCCGAGCAUGGGACACACGGCGGGUGCUAACGUCCGUCGUGAAAAGGGAAACAACCCAGACCGUCAGCUAAGGUCCCAAAGUUAUGGUUAAGUGGGAAACGAUGUGGGAAGGCUUAGACAGCUAGGAGGUUGGCUUAGAAGCAGCCACCCUUUAAAGAAAGCGUAAUAGCUCACUAGUCGAGUCGGCCUGCGCGGAAGAUGUAACGGGGCUCAAACCAUACACCGAAGCUACGGGUAUCAUCUUCGGAUGAUGCGGUAGAGGAGCGUUCUGUAAGCCUGUGAAGGUGAGUUGAGAAGCUUGCUGGAGGUAUCAGAAGUGCGAAUGCUGACAUGAGUAACGACAAUGGGUGUGAAAAACACCCACGCCGAAAGACCAAGGUUUCCUGCGCAACGUUAAUCGACGCAGGGUUAGUCGGUCCCUAAGGCGAGGCUGAAAAGCGUAGUCGAUGGAAAACAGGUUAAUAUUCCUGUACUUCUGGUUAUUGCGAUGGAGGGACGGAGAAGGCUAGGCCAGCUUGGCGUUGGUUGUCCAAGUUUAAGGUGGUAGGCUGAGAUCUUAGGUAAAUCCGGGAUCUUAAGGCCGAGAGCUGAUGACGAGUGUUCUUUUAGAACACGAAGUGGUUGAUGCCAUGCUUCCAAGAAAAGCUUCUAAGCUUCAGGUAACCAGGAACCGUACCCCAAACCGACACAGGUGGUUGGGUAGAGAAUACCAAGGCGCUUGAGAGAACUCGGGUGAAGGAACUAGGCAAAAUGGCACCGUAACUUCGGGAGAAGGUGCGCCGGUGAGGGUGAAGGACUUGCUCCGUAAGCUCAUGCCGGUCGAAGAUACCAGGCCGCUGCGACUGUUUAUUAAAAACACAGCACUCUGCAAACACGAAAGUGGACGUAUAGGGUGUGACGCCUGCCCGGUGCCGGAAGGUUAAUUGAUGGGGUUAGCUAACGCGAAGCUCUUGAUCGAAGCCCCGGUAAACGGCGGCCGUAACUAUAACGGUCCUAAGGUAGCGAAAUUCCUUGUCGGGUAAGUUCCGACCUGCACGAAUGGCGUAACGAUGGCGGCGCUGUCUCCACCCGAGACUCAGUGAAAUUGAAAUCGCUGUGAAGAUGCAGUGUAUCCGCGGCUAGACGGAAAGACCCCGUGAACCUUUACUAUAGCUUUGCACUGGACUUUGAAUUUGCUUGUGUAGGAUAGGUGGGAGGCUUUGAAGCGUGGACGCCAGUUCGCGUGGAGCCAUCCUUGAAAUACCACCCUGGCAACUUUGAGGUUCUAACUCAGGUCCGUUAUCCGGAUCGAGGACAGUGUAUGGUGGGUAGUUUGACUGGGGCGGUCUCCUCCUAAAGAGUAACGGAGGAGUACGAAGGUGCGCUCAGACCGGUCGGAAAUCGGUCGUAGAGUAUAAAGGCAAAAGCGCGCUUGACUGCGAGACAGACACGUCGAGCAGGUACGAAAGUAGGUCUUAGUGAUCCGGUGGUUCUGUAUGGAAGGGCCAUCGCUCAACGGAUAAAAGGUACUCCGGGGAUAACAGGCUGAUACCGCCCAAGAGUUCAUAUCGACGGCGGUGUUUGGCACCUCGAUGUCGGCUCAUCACAUCCUGGGGCUGAAGCCGGUCCCAAGGGUAUGGCUGUUCGCCAUUUAAAGUGGUACGCGAGCUGGGUUUAGAACGUCGUGAGACAGUUCGGUCCCUAUCUGCCGUGGACGUUUGAGAUUUGAGAGGGGCUGCUCCUAGUACGAGAGGACCGGAGUGGACGAACCUCUGGUGUUCCGGUUGUCACGCCAGUGGCAUUGCCGGGUAGCUAUGUUCGGGAAAGAUAACCGCUGAAAGCAUCUAAGCGGGAAACUUGCCUCAAGAUGAGAUCUCACUGGAACCUUGAGUUCCCUGAAGGGCCGUCGAAGACUACGACGUUGAUAGGUUGGGUGUGUAAGCGCUGUGAGGCGUUGAGCUAACCAAUACUAAUUGCCCGUGAGGCUUGACCAU